rnacentral:rRNA from 1 species
AGGAUUCCCCUAGUAACGGCGAGUGAAGCGGGAAUAGCCCAGCACCGAAUCCCUCGGCUCAAGGCCGGCGGGAAAUGUGGUGUAUAGGAAGCCGAUUGGCGCGGCGACGAGCGUCCAAGUCCUCCUGAUCGUGGCCUUGCCCAGAGAGGGUGUCAGGCCCGUGAGGCGCGCCAGUCGCCCGCGUCUUCGAGCUUCCUCGGAGUCGGGUUGUUUGGGAAUGCAGCCCAAAGGUGGGUGGUAAACUCCAUUUAAGG